rnacentral:rRNA from 1 species
CCUANGGGUGGCAGCAGUGAGGAAUCUUGCGCAAUGGGCGAAAGCCUGACGCAGCGACGCCGCGUGGGGGAUGAAGGCCUUCGGGUUGUAAACCCCUUUCAGGAGGGAAGAUGGGACGGGCAACCGUUCGGACGGUACCUCCAGAAGCAGCCACGGCUAACUCUGUGCCAGCAGCCGCGGUAAGACAGAGGUGGCAAACGUUGUUCGGAUUUACUGGGCGUAAAGGGUGCGUAGGUGGUUAGGUAAGACCUGUGGGAAAGACCUGGGCUUAACCCAGGAAGGUCGCAGGUGACUGCCUGGGCUAGAGGGCGGGAGAGGAGAGCGGAAUUCCCGGUGUAGCGGUGAAAUGCGUAGAGAUCGGGAGGAAGGCCGGUGGCGAAGGCGGCUCGCUGGAACGUUCCUGACACUGAGGCACGAAAGCGUGGGGAGCAAACAGGAUUAGAUACCCCANUANUC